AUUGAACGCUGGCGGCAGGCCUAACACAUGCAAGUCGAGCGCGCGGCGGACGGGUGUGUAAUGUCUGGGAAACUGCCUGUUGUAGGGGGAUAACUCCUGUAAACGGUAUCUCAUACCGCCUACCCUCACAUGUGCCCAGAUGGGAGUAGCUAGUAGGUGGGGUAACGGCUCACCUAGGCGACGAUCCCUAGCUGGUCUGAGAGGAUGACCAGACACACUGGAACUGAGACACGGUCCAGACGCCUACGGGAGGCAGCAGUGGGGAAUAUUGCACAAUGGGCGCAAGCCUGAUGCAGCCAUGCCGCGUGUGUGAAGAAGGCCUUCGGGUUGUAAAGCACUUUCAGCGGGGAGGCGUUACCCGCAGAAGAAGCACCGGCUAACUCCGUGCCAGCAGCCGCGGUAAUUC
rnacentral:rRNA from 1 species